rnacentral:rRNA from 1 species
GACGAAGGAUGCAAGCGUUAUCCGGAUUCAUUGGGUUUAAAGGGAGCGUAGGUGGACUGAUAAGUCAGUGGUGAAAUCUUUGGGCUUAACCCAAAAAUUGCCAUUGAUACUGUUGGUCUUGAGUAUAGUUGCCGUUGGCGGAAUAUGACAUGUAGUGGUGAAAUACAUAGAGAUGUCAUAGAACACCGAUUGCGAAGGCAGCUGACGAAACUAUAACUGACACUGAGGCUCGAAAAGUGUGGGGAUCAAACAGG